CAUGGCCCUUACGACCAGGGCUACACACGUGCUACAAUGGCGCAUACAAAGAGAAGCGACCUCGCGAGAGCAAGCGGACCUCAUAAAGUGCGUCGUAGUCCGGAUUGGAGUCUGCAACUCGACUCCAUGAAGUCGGAAUCGCUAGUAAUCGUGGAUCAGAAUGCCACGGUGAAUACGUUCCCGGGCCUUGUACACACCGCCCGUCACACCAUGGGAGUGGGUUGCAAAAGAAGUAGGUAGCUUAACCUUCGGGAGGGCGCUUACCACUUUGUGAUUCAUGACUGGGGUGAAGUCGUAACAAGGUAACCGUAGGGGAACCUGCGGUUGGAUCACCUCCUUA
rnacentral:rRNA from 1 species